rnacentral:rRNA from 1 species
AAGCGGGGGAUCGCAAGACCUCGCGCGAUUGGAGCGGCCGAUAUCAGAUUAGGUAGUUGGUGGGGUAAAGGCUCACCAAGCCAACGAUCUGUAGCUGGUCUGAGAGGACGACCAGCCACACUGGAACUGAGACACGGUCCAGACUCCUACGGGAGGCAGCAGUGGGGAAUUUUGGACAAUGGACGCAAGUCUGAUCCAGCCAUUCCGCGUGCAGGAUGAAGGCCCUCGGGUUGUAAACUGCUUUUGUACGGAACGAAAAGGUUUCCAUUAAUACUGGGGGCUCAUGACGGUACCGUAAGAAUAAGCACCGGCUAACUACGUGCCAGCAGCCGCGGUAAUACGUAGGGUGCAAGCGUUAAUCGGAAUUACUGGGCGUAAAGCGUGCGCAGGCGGUUAUGUAAGACAGAGGUGAAAUCCCCGGGCUCAACCUGGGAACUGCCUUUGUGACUGCAUAGCUAGAGUACGGUAGAGGGGGAUGGAAUUCCGCGUGUAGCAGUGAAAUGCGUAGAUAUGCGGAGGAACACCGAUGGCGAAGGCAAUCCCCUGGACCUGUACUGACGCUCAUGCACGAAAGCGUGGGGAGCAAACAGGAUUAGAUACCCUGGUAGUCCACGCCCUAAACGAUGUCAACUGGUUGUUGGGUCUUCACUGACUCAGUAACGAAGCUAACGCGUGAAGUUGACCGCCUGGGG